GACGAACGCUGGCGGCGCGCCUAACACAUGCAAGUCGAGCGGAGAUAUACGAAGAGUAAUCCGAGUAUAUCUUAGCGGCGGACGGGUGAGUAACGCGUGAGUGACCUGCCUCUUACAGGGGAAUAACGUGCCGAAAGGCACACUAAUACCGCAUAAGACCACGAAACCGCAUGGUUAUGAGGUCAAAGGAGCAAUCCGGUAAGAGAUGGGCUCGCGUCCGAUUAGAUAGUUGGUGAGGUAACGGCCCACCAAGUCGACGAUCGGUAGCCGACCUGAGAGGGUGAUCGGCCACAUUGGAACCUGAGAGACGGUCCAAACUCCUACGGGAGGCAGCAGUGGGGAAUAUUGGGCAAUGGGGGAAACCCUGACCCAGCGACGCCGCGUGAGGGAAGAAGGUUUUCGGAUCGUAAACCUCUGUUGUACGGGAAGAAGGAAUUGACGGUACCGUACGAGUAAGCCCCGGCAAACUACGUG
rnacentral:rRNA from 1 species